GUGGGGUAACGGCUCACCUAGGCGACGAUCCCUAGCUGGUCUGAGAGGAUGACCAGCCACACUGGAACUGAGACACGGUCCAGACUCCUACGGGAGGCAGCAGUGGGGAAUAUUGCACAAUGGGCGCAAGCCUGAUGCAGCCAUGCCGCGUGUGUGAAGAAGGCCUUCGGGUUGUAAAGCACUUUCAGCGGGGAGGAAGGCGUUAAGGUUAAUAACCUCAUCGAUUGACGUUACCCGCAGAAGAAGCACCGGCUAACUCCGUGCCAGCAGCCGCGGUAAUACGGAGGGUGCAAGCGUUAAUCGGAAUUACUGGGCGUAAAGCGCACGCAGGCGGUCUGUCAAGUCGGAUGUGAAAUCCCCGGGCUCAACCUGGGAACUGCAUUCGAAACUGGCAGGCUAGAGUCUUGUAGAG
rnacentral:rRNA from 1 species